rnacentral:misc_RNA from 1 species
GAUGAAGAACGCAGCGAAAUGCGAUAAGUAAUGUGAAUUGCAGAAUUCAGCGAAUCAUCGAAUCUUUGAACGCACCUUGCGCCUUUUGGUAUUCCGAAAGGCACACCUGUUUGAGCGUCAUGAAUACCUCAAUCUCCAUCUUUUCUUCGGAUUGAUGGGUGACUUGGAUGUUGAGCCCUGCUGGUAUGCUAUAUCAGCUGGCUUUAAACUUAUUAGCCGGCUCUGUACUGGAUCGGUUUGACUCGACGUGAUAAUAUUAUCGUUGAGGAUGCAUGUCUCAUGCAGCCGGAAAGUAUCAAAGCAGCUUCUAGCUUGCCUUUAGUGCACUUUUACAUUUUAGACCUCAGAUCAGGUGGGACUACCCGCUGAACUUAAGCAUAUCAAUAAGCGGAGGA